rnacentral:lncRNA from 1 species
CCUGAAACCUAGACGGAGACGUGCGAGAAACAGAUUUUGAACAUGAAAAGAGCAGCUGUGUUGGCUGAUACAGCCCUCUAUCCCCAGGCUGCCACCUCUCCCCUCUCCAACGGCCUUUACUUAACGGAACCUGGUUGCAGAGGCAGCUGGCUGAGCAUGUCUGCUCCUGCUGAAAUCUCACCACAGAUGCGGCUGCUUCAUAAUGACUAUAAUCAGAGCAAGCUCCUGUAUUGACACAGACCGGCUUAUUCCUAUUAUUAGAGGGAUCACAUAUUGCCCCGGUGACACACUUCAAAUGUAUCUCAGAUUAAUGAUAUAUCACGAGCUUUUCCCAUCACCUUCAUUUCUCUCUCCUCACGUACGAGCGGCACACACAUUUUUCAAAAAGUGGCUUCUAAACACCAGAGCAACCACAGCUUAUGUCAUUGCAUGGCUAAUCUUCUGAAGUUAGACAUUGCACUAUUAGUUCCAAGUUCCUGACACAUGCACUUUUAAGGGCCCACUGUGUCAACAUGUCAAAUGGGAUGUAGCGUGCAGACGGCUGUACAUUGCAAUCUUUCUCAGUGUUGGAAGAGAAGCACAGCUAAGAUCAUCAUCACUUUCCAAAGAUAGCCAGCCAUGUGUUGAUGUCGAGGUUUGCUUUGAUGUCAUGUCAAUGCAUCAGUACAACUGGUUUACUUCUACUUACAGUGAACGCUCGCUGUGAAAUCAUUUCUGUGUGAGCUGUCCUUUGCGUGGCAUAUGCCCAUUCAGACAUGAAUGAGAAUGGCACUUUGCAAGUAAGCACUAUGAACAAAUGACAAGAUGUAUGGGUGUGACACCUUGCUGAAAUGUGAUUUCCCACUGAAGCCACCCUGAACAAACCCGUUGAUGUGGAUAAUAAACACAAAGACCUCAAAGCUGUGCUUGUUUUGUUUUAUAGAAGCACCUCAUAAUCACUUUAAAUGCUCUACGCCAUAAAUUACUACAUCGGGACAAUUUUGCUAGCAUCUCUUGCUAAUUGAUUUCCCUGUUCUUAUGUUCUCAUGGUGGGUCCCAUUUCAGAGGGAAUCAGAGGGUGUAUGAGGUGUUGAUAAACCUCUUUAAUCCCUGUCCCCUUCUCAGAUAAAUGCAGCCCUUCAUCACAUCCAUGAUUCACUGCUGAUAGUGCCAAAAUGAAUGUGUUAGUAAUAGUGUCCCUUAUUCAUUGUGGUGAUGUUGAUAUGAUCAACUAUGUUAAAUGAGGCUGUGGCUUGGUAAAAAAAAAAAAAAAAUCUGUAAGAUAUACAUAAGAAAAAUCCUGGUGAAACUUGUUGGAUGGGAUAACUCAUGUCUGCACGGAAAAUACGGUAAAGACGUGGCUAGAGCCAGCGUUCAGUUAGCUUAGCAUAGCAUUAAUACUGUCCAAAUCAUAGACUGUAUAUAAAUGGACAUAAUCACCUGAGCCUGAGAAAUGCUAAUGAGUAAGUGCCUGAAGCCUGUAUCCUCUGGAAUCACCAGAGCCAUCACACACAGCCAGGCUACCACCCUUGUGUUUUCUGUCUCUAUGUUAAGCUUAGCAAACCGAUAGAGUGGUUUCCAUCUUCUCAUCCAACUAUCUGGAAGGUGAAAUUUCCCGAAAUAGCCUAUUUCCCAAAGUGUCAAACAAUUCCUCUAACUGGCACUGGGGUUUUUUUCUCUC